CCCUAUGGGGCGCAGCAGGCGGGUAAGUCCUUCGUUCUGACCGAUGGAGAAUUUCCAGUAGUUGGCAAUUCCCGAGUAUUUGGAGGCAUACUGGAUGUUUACCUUCGGGUCGGCCUUCAUGUCCUUCAUCCAGAUUGCAAGUCGUUCGCCGCGUAUCUUGAUCCUGUCGGCGUUGGUGAUCUUCAUGGCUUCGUCAGCCUCGUAGGAGGUCAUGUACCUGGUGGUGCCGCCGGGAUAGCCCAUCACCAUUGCAAAGUCAUUCUUCUGCAGGUUCUUUAUUGAGACGGGCAGGUAGUAUUUUGGUUUGAGGGGCACAUUGUCUUUCGAGUACUGUGCCGGUUGGCCGUCAGGGCUCAUGUAGACCCUGAACACGCUGAAGUCGCCGGUAGGGCGGGGCCAUGCCCAGUGGUCGGUAUCAUGUCCGAAUUGUCCGAUUGAAUUGGCGGGAGGGC
rnacentral:rRNA from 1 species